CCAUGCUCCAUGUGCUGCGCGGUGUGGAAAGGCUGGGGGGAGCUGGGAAGGCAGCCAGUGCAAAAAAUCUCCCGUGGGGCCUCCCCUCUCAGAGGUGACGCAUCACCACAUCCCAGGCCAGCUGGGGCUGGUGUCCUCUGCUCCUGGAAUUGCUUGGUGAGGGGAUGAAGGUCUACUGUGGGAGAUCACAGGAGGGACUUAAGCAGUUGCUCUUAGAAAGGAUUCUUACAUAUUCUUGCAAGAAAGGAGUCCUUCAAAACUGCAAGUCUUUGUAGUUGGAUCUGCUGAGCCAGACUUCAACCAAGCUAGUUACUGGUCAGUGAGCUGGGGUGCCACUGCAGUGACAUCCACAAGUACCCAGAGGACUUCACUCCCCAGGAGCUCUCUUUCACUUGCUGUCCAUCAAGUUUUCCCAGGAAAAAAAAAAAAAUUCCUUCUUCUUUGCUAAGGAUGGCUCCAUCAAUCUGAAUUAAGUGUUCAGUGGGAACCAGAAAUAAUGCUACUGAGGAAAUCUCAGCCUAAAACCAGUCAGCAGCAGGCAGCUGUUCUGGGAUGCCUUUUCACCACGGGGCUAUUUGAUCUCCCUUGAGGUUGAUCUGAGCCCUGCAGACGGCUGUUAAAAAAGUAAUUUUGUCACUCAAUGCACUUUCAAUUCAGUAAAUUGUAGGAGAAGGCAAUUGCACUGGAGGCCUAGCUGGAAGGAAGGAGAGAUAUUUGCCUAAUACAUGCUUAACUGGCAAUCAUCUUGGCAGUGUCUUAGCCCUGCUGCAGUCAAGGUGGCUUUCAUCACUGGAGGUGGAGGAGAGAUCAGAAACUGCUCUGGUUUCCUGUGCACCUUAAUUUGAAAAGCAAUAGAAAGACAGCUGAGAAGGAAAUGAGCAAACACCGCGAGGGUCAGGAAGAUCUCAGGGUCACUUUUGUGAGCUCUCCGUGGACCUUGAUGCCCAGACAGCGGCUUCCAUCCCAAACAGGAUGCAAGGAGAGGAGACAAACUUGGACAGGACUGAGUCAGACCAUUGACUAGUUAAUGAGAAGGCAAAAUAUCCUGAAAGUGAGACUGAGGGGAAGAAAAGCUUGAUCUCAGCUGGUUGCUGGGGAAAGGCAGGAGGAGCCAGUUUUUGUGACACUUCUCAUUCUUGGCCAGCAGGAGAAGCUCCACUGGCACCAUCCACACACCACUGAGGAAGGGAAAAUGGCAGCUUUGACUGUCCUACCCUAGGACACAACCUGCAGAGAUUUUCACUUGUGUUUUGUGACCAAUUCCUGGAUUGCACUUUCAGGCCAAAUCUGAUUCAAGUUCCUGGAAAAAAGGGCUGUUUGUUGAUUUCUGAAAGUGGAGUAAUCCCACUAGGAGACACUGAGAGAAUCUACUCUCUUGUAGCAAGGGAGAGGCUUCUUUGGGAUGCCAGUGGAGUCUUCUGUAUUCCUGGUUUAUUAAUUAUUCUGUUUGGGGAGCAAAGAGGGAGAUGAGAAAUUUUUCCAAAUGAGAGCUUAUCAAAAUGGUUUUAUUUCUGGCAAGGCUGAUAUAUCCAAGGAGCUAAAGAUACUUCUAAUAUUUUGUCAAGCCUUUCUGCACCACUCAAGCCCAGGGAUGUUUCAAACUGAUUUCCACACAAAGAAGAUGUUUCCCAUUAAAUAGGAAUGCUCGCCUUGAAAAUAAAUAUCUCCCUGCCAUGGGAGAGUUAUGGUGGGAUGGCUCAUGGAAGAGCAGGAAAGGCUUACAAUUAUCCCAGUUAUCAGGUGCAGGCAGGUCUGACUGUUUUGGGGAGAGGUCUCAGCUUUUUGGGACCAGCCUUCCUCAGCUGUGUCAAGAGGCAGGGGCAGGGCAGGCUCAGCACCUUUUUUGCAUCACUGGUGGGGUUUUACAACUUGUAUGUUUGUAAGGUUUGUUGUUAUUUUUCAUGUUCAGAAAUCCAAAGCUCUGUAGGGGGGAGUUCUGAAGAAAAACCCAAAUAAAUAAAAAAUUCACCCUUGGGUGCACUUAAAGUGGUUGGUGAGAAAUGUGCUGACUCCCAAAUGUUCUCCUUCCCACACACUUCACAAAAUGCUGGUUUUAUUCAUAUACAUGUGUUUAUACUUCCUGCUGAUGCUCUCCUAAAUAUUUCAAAGUAUCCUUAUGAACCAAUACACUUUUAUCGUGGUAUUUGUAGGAGCACAAGACCUUGGUUGUACCCAUACAGCCCCAGUUUGCUUCUUUUCCCUUUCAAGUAAAUUUUAAAUUACCAAAGAAGUGCUGAUAGUCACAAAAAUCUAGUUACUGGCCAUGAAAACUCAACCAUAAGUAAUCUCCCCAAAACCAGUCCCAUGAAAUAUUCAUGCUCUGGGAGCUCCAUUCCAGGCAGGGCGGCUGCUUCCAACAGCAAAUGCUUUGGGAGAAGAGAAAUGGUGAUUCCUCUGCUUGCAGAAAUGAGGAUGCUGCCAAACUCCUUGGCAGGAUAAUCUGCUAAAAAACAAGAAAAUCAGGGUUGGUUUGUUAAAAUACCCACAGCAAGUGUUAGGGUCCCACCGUGAGCAGCAGAGACAGCAGUGCCAAUAUCCCGUCAGCAGCUCCGUAUCGAUCCCGACCUAUCUGCAGCCACCCUGGAUCCCUCCCUGUGCUGGAUUACUGCCUCCAGCACAGACACCAAUCAAUAGCGACUGAAGACUGGUAAUGACCAAAUGUCAGGGACUUUUCAGCAGCUUUUUUGAACUAAUAUUGGUGCUUCCUAAUCCCGUUAUCAAAGGGUACCAUGAAAAACACCAUGACGGUGGGUACGAGUUGCCAACCUUUCACAGAUUCAUAUACUUGAGACCAGAAGAAACCACUCAAUAAUCUUUUUUUUCUGCUGACCUUUAUUUCGUGGGCCAUUAGAUUUCACCCGUAUCAAGUGCAAUAACUGGCGUCUGACUGAGGUACAACUUGUGCUUGGCAGAAGCAUAUCUUCAAAGGAGAAAACCGGUCCUGAUUGAAGACAUUGGAGCUGGACACUUCACCACCCCUUGGCAGUUUCACUUGGUGGUUAUGACAGUUUAUUUCUGGGCACUCUUCUGCCUGAGGAAGUUAACUCAGGGCGAGGGAAUGUGUGUGAAUAAAGACAACAAUCUCUUUCUACUUAACUGUCUGCAGACACGAGCACAGGCACAACAGCCAUUCACAAACACUCCACAAUGACUGCUGUGUCUACAGGUUUUAUUUUGACUUUCUCUGCCUCGGGUUUCAUCUACUGGUCCUUUUCAGUGUGUUCCCCUCCUAAGCAGAGAUACACUGGCACACUCUUUCACACCUUGUCCCCGUCUUCUGCUUGGUAAUAAUCCCCAGAGGCACACAUGACUCCUCAUGUCCCCUCCAAAUCUUACCUGUCCAUUCUGCCGUGGCCAAACCAGAGAGCGGCUGAAGUCCUGGCCCAACUUUAAUCAGAGUAAUAGAGGUGUUGAAGAUUGGACUUGAUGAUUUUGGAGAU